rnacentral:rRNA from 1 species
AGUGAACGCUGGCGGUAGGCCUAACACAUGCAAGUCGAACGGCAGCACAGUAAGAGCUUGCUCUUACGGGUGGCGAGUGGCGGAUGGGAGAGGGAUACACCGGAGUCUACUUUUUCGUGGGGGAUAACGUAGGGAAACUUACGCGAAUACCGCAUACGACCUACGGGUGAAAGCAGGGGAUCUUCGGACCUUGCGCGAGUGAACGAGCCGAUGGCGGAUUAGCGAGGUGGCGGGGUAACGGCCCACCAACGCGACGAUCCGUAGCUGGUGUGAGAGGAUGAACAGCCACACUGGAACUGAGCCACGGUCCAGACUCCUACGGAAGGCACCAGUGGCUACUGUUGGACACUGGGCGCAAGCCUGCUCCAGGCAUACCGGGCGGGUGCAGAAGGCCUUCGGGUUGUAAGGCGGUUUUGUUGGUAAAGAAAAGCUGCACGUUAGACCCCCGCUUUUCUGACGGUACCCAAAGAAUAAGCACCGGCUAACUACGUG